AUUGAACGCUGGCGGCAUGCCUUACACAUGCAAGUCGAACGGUAACAGGCCGCAAGGUGCUGACGAGUGGCGAACGGGUGAGUAAUGCAUCGGAACGUGCCCAGUCGUGGGGGAUAACUACUCGAAAGAGUAGCUAAUACCGCAUACGAUCUAUGGAUGAAAGCGGGGGACCGUAAGGCCUCGCGCGAUUGGAGCUGCCGAUGUCAGAUUAGGUAGUUGGUGGGGUAAAGGCUCACCAAGCCAACGAUCUGUAGCUGGUCUGAGAGGACGACCAGCCACACUGGAACUGAGACACGGCCCAGACUCCUACGGGAGGCAGCAGUGGGGAAUUUUGGACAAUGGGCGCAAGCCUGAUCCAGCAAUGCCGCGUGCAGGAAGAAGGCCUUCGGGUUGUAAACUGCUUUUGUACGGAACGAAACGGCUCUGGUUAAUACCCGGGGCUAAUGACGGUACCGUAAGAAUAAGCACCGGCUAACUACGUG
rnacentral:rRNA from 1 species